rnacentral:rRNA from 1 species
UUAAGUUAUUAAGGGCGCACGGUGGAUGCCUUGGCACUAGAAGCCGAUGAAGGACGUUACUAACGACGAUAUGCUUUGGGGAGCUGUAAGUAAGCUUUGAUCCAGAGAUUUCCGAAUGGGGAAACCCAGCAUGAGUUAUGUCAUGUUAUCGAUAUGUGAAUACAUAGCAUAUCAGAAGGCACACCCGGAGAACUGAAACAUCUUAGUACCCGGAGGAAGAGAAAGAAAAUUCGAUUCCCUUAGUAGCGGCGAGCGAAACGGGAAGAGCCCAAACCAACAAGCUUGCUUGUUGGGGUUGUAGGACACUCUAUACGGAGUUACAAAGGACGACAUUAGACGAAUCAUCUGGAAAGAUGAAUCAAAGAAGGUAAUAAUCCUGUAGUCGAAAAUGUUGUCUCUCUUGAGUGGAUCCUGAGUACGACGGAGCACGUGAAAUUCCGUCGGAAUCUGGGAGGACCAUCUCCUAAGGCUAAAUACUCUCUAGUGACCGAUAGUGAACCAGUACCGUGAGGGAAAGGUGAAAAGCACCCCGGAAGGGGAGUGAAAUAGAACCUGAAACCGUGUGCUUACAAGUAGUCAGAGCCCGUUAAUGGGUGAUGGCGUGCCUUUUGUAGAAUGAACCGGCGAGUUACGAUUUGAUGCAAGGUUAAGCAGUAAAUGUGGAGCCGUAGCGAAAGCGAGUCUGAAUAGGGCGUUUAGUAUUUGGUCGUAGACCCGAAACCAGGUGAUCUACCCUUGGUCAGGUUGAAGUUCAGGUAACACUGAAUGGAGGACCGAACCGACUUACGUUGAAAAGUGAGCGGAUGAACUGAGGGUAGCGGAGAAAUUCCAAUCGAACCUGGAGAUAGCUGGUUCUCUCCGAAAUAGCUUUAGGGCUAGCCUCAAGUGAUGAUUAUUGGAGGUAGAGCACUGUUUGGACGAGGGGCCCCUCUCGGGUUACCGAAUUCAGACAAACUCCGAAUGCCAAUUAAUUUAACUUGGGAGUCAGAACAUGGGUGAUAAGGUCCGUGUUCGAAAGGGAAACAGCCCAGACCACCAGCUAAGGUCCCAAAAUAUAUGUUAAGUGGAAAAGGAUGUGGCGUUGCCCAGACAACUAGGAUGUUGGCUUAGAAGCAGCCAUCAUUUAAAGAGUGCGUAAUAGCUCACUAGUCGAGUGACACUGCGCCGAAAAUGUACCGGGGCUAAACAUAUUACCGAAGCUGUGGAUUGUCCUUUGGACAAUGGUAGGAGAGCGUUCUAAGGGCGUUGAAGCAUGAUCGUAAGGACAUGUGGAGCGCUUAGAAGUGAGAAUGCCGGUGUGAGUAGCGAAAGACGGGUGAGAAUCCCGUCCACCGAUUGACUAAGGUUUCCAGAGGAAGGCUCGUCCGCUCUGGGUUAGUCGGGUCCUAAGCUGAGGCCGACAGGCGUAGGCGAUGGAUAACAGGUUGAUAUUCCUGUACCACCUAUAAUUGUUUUAAUCGAUGGGGGGACGCAGUAGGAUAGGCGAAGCGUGCGAUUGGAUUGCACGUCUAAGCAGUAAGGCUGAGUAUUAGGCAAAUCCGGUACUCGUUAAGGCUGAGCUGUGAUGGGGAGAAGACAUUGUGUCUUCGAGUCGUUGAUUUCACACUGCCGAGAAAAGCCUCUAGAUAGAAAAUAGGUGCCCGUACCGCAAACCGACACAGGUAGUCAAGAUGAGAAUUCUAAGGUGAGCGAGCGAACUCUCGUUAAGGAACUCGGCAAAAUGACCCCGUAACUUCGGGAGAAGGGGUGCUCUUUAGGGUUAACGCCCAGAAGAGCCGCAGUGAAUAGGCCCAAGCGACUGUUUAUCAAAAACACAGGUCUCUGCUAAACCGUAAGGUGAUGUAUAGGGGCUGACGCCUGCCCGGUGCUGGAAGGUUAAGAGGAGUGGUUAGCUUCUGCGAAGCUACGAAUCGAAGCCCCAGUAAACGGCGGCCGUAACUAUAACGGUCCUAAGGUAGCGAAAUUCCUUGUCGGGUAAGUUCCGACCCGCACGAAAGGCGUAACGAUUUGGGCACUGUCUCAACGAGAGACUCGGUGAAAUCAUAGUACCUGUGAAGAUGCAGGUUACCCGCGACAGGACGGAAAGACCCCGUGGAGCUUUACUGUAGCCUGAUAUUGAAAUUCGGCACAGCUUGUACAGGAUAGGUAGGAGCCUUUGAAACGUGAGCGCUAGCUUACGUGGAGGCGCUGGUGGGAUACUACCCUAGCUGUGUUGGCUUUCUAACCCGCACCACUUAUCGUGGUGGGAGACAGUGUCAGGCGGGCAGUUUGACUGGGGCGGUCGCCUCCUAAAAGGUAACGGAGGCGCUCAAAGGUUCCCUCAGAAUGGUUGGAAAUCAUUCAUAGAGUGUAAAGGCAUAAGGGAGCUUGACUGCGAGACCUACAAGUCGAGCAGGGUCGAAAGACGGACUUAGUGAUCCGGUGGUUCCGCAUGGAAGGGCCAUCGCUCAACGGAUAAAAGCUACCCCGGGGAUAACAGGCUUAUCUCCCCCAAGAGUUCACAUCGACGGGGAGGUUUGGCACCUCGAUGUCGGCUCAUCGCAUCCUGGGGCUGUAGUCGGUCCCAAGGGUUGGGCUGUUCGCCCAUUAAAGCGGUACGCGAGCUGGGUUCAGAACGUCGUGAGACAGUUCGGUCCCUAUCCGUCGUGGGCGUAGGAAAUUUGAGAGGAGCUGUCCUUAGUACGAGAGGACCGGGAUGGACAUACCUCUGGUGUACCAGUUGUCGUGCCAACGGCAUAGCUGGGUAGCUAUGUGUGGACGGGAUAAGUGCUGAAAGCAUCUAAGCAUGAAGCCCCCCUCAAGAUGAGAUUUCCCAACUUCGGUUAUAAGAUCCCUCAAAGAUGAUGAGGUUAAUAGGUUCGAGGUGGAAGCAUGGUGACAUGUGGAGCUGACGAAUACUAAUCGAUCGAAGACUUAAUCAA